rnacentral:rRNA from 1 species
GACGAACGCUGGCGGCAUGCCUAAUACAUGCAAGUCGAGCGAACAGAUGAAGUGCUUGCACUUCUGACGUUAGCGGCGAACGGGUGAGUAACACGUAAGGAAUCUACCUAUAAGCGGGGGAUAACAUUCGGAAACGGGUGCUAAUACCGCAUAAUAUCUUCUUCCGCAUGGAAGGAGAUUGAAAGACGGCUCUGCUGUCACUUAUAGAUGACCUUGCGGGGCAUUAGUUAGUUGGUGGGGUAACGGCCUACCAAGACGAUGAUGCAUAGCCGACCUGAGAGGGUGAUCGGCCACAUUGGGACUGAGACACGGACCAAACUCCUACGGGAGGCAGCAGUAGGGAAUCUUCCGCAAUGGGCGAAAGCCUGACGGAGCAAUGCCGCGUGAGUGAAGAAGGCCUUCGGGUCGUAAAACUCUGUUAUAAGAGAAGAACAAAUUGUAGAGUAACUGCUACAGUCUUGACGGUAUCUUAUCAGAAAGCCACGGCUAACUACGUGCCAGCCGCCGCCGUAA